rnacentral:misc_RNA from 1 species
CACACACCAAUAUUUUGUAGAGAAAGAAGACAAAUAUUGGAGAGUUCUUAGGUAGAUGAGUCUACCACAUAUACUAAACCCACAACUUGUUGAUUUGGAAGUAGGCCUCUCUUGAGCCCUAAGAAACAUUAAAAAGGUUGCAUUUUGCAAAAAUCUCUUCCCUCAUAAAGCUGUUUAAAAUACUUCGAGACUCAUUUUGAGAAACAGUAUUGUUUAGUGUGACUCUUAUAGCACAAGAGAGGAUCAUCACAACAAAGGACUUGGGGCUCAAGAAAACACUAGUAUAUGCACAUAUCCCACACAAAUUGGUAUUAAUCAAAACAAAAUUACUAAUUUAUGAAUUAAAAUUGAUAAAAUUAAAAGCAUAGAAUACAAACAUACAAAGUUCAAGAUGACCAUUAGCCCUAUUCAAUAACAUGCUACUAAAAAAGCUAAGUGUAAGUUUCUUUAGUUCAAAUUCAGUAAAUGUUGUUACUUCUGAAGAAAAUAAAAGCGCAGAGGUAGUUAAAAC